UUGAAUAUUCAUGUUAAAAGAGGAAAUUAUUCUGUUUUUCUGAAUAUUUGUGGAUUCAUUGCAUUUUUCAUUUCUUUUCUUUUUUUCUUAGCGGUUACCCCCUCCUCUAUAUUGUUUAUAGCAUUUUAUAGUGUAGAAUGUUUUAGGGUUUUGAAUGAUGCAAUUUUGUCCUUUUUAUGAGCUGGAAAAAUUAGUGGAAUAAAUAGUGGAAUUCAUUUUGAAAAAUGGUUGUGAUUGUGUGAUGAAGUGGAUUUGUU
rnacentral:lncRNA from 1 species